rnacentral:sRNA from 1 species
CAAGGCGAUGCUUGAGCUACAUGAUGAA